CUGCGGGGAUAGCUCAGUUGGGAGAGCGUCAGACUGAAGAUCUGAAGGUCAGGUGUUCGAUCCACCUUCACCGCAAGCAUUUUGAAAUUUUUAAUUUAUUAAAUUAAAAAUUUUAACCAUUAAAUUAGACUAUCGUUCAAUGCGAUUAUAGUUGCGGGGAUAGCUCAGUUGGGAGAGCGUCAGACUGAAGAUCUGAAGGUCAGGUGUUCGAUCCACCUUCACCGCAUAC
rnacentral:tRNA from 1 species